UAGUCAUAUGCUUUGUUCAAGGGCUAAGCCAUGCAAGUCUCAGCGCACAUGGUCACAACAGUGGGUCUGUGAAUGGCUCCUUACAUCAGCAGUCAUCUCCGCGACAGAGUGUGGUCGGCACCAGUCAGCCAUCGGUGCCCAGUUGGACAUCCACCAAAACCUUGUGGCUAAUACACGUUCGCUCAGGUUCGGCCAUGGUUCAACGCUCGGGGGUGUACUGGCGCUUCCACGUUAGUGUGUCCCCUCGCUUUCCAGAGGGGCGUGGUGGUUGAUGGCACCCAGCCCACACGAAGACCAGCGUCCCUAACUCGGACAGCGUGUUGUAGUGUAGUUGACCCAGGCUGGUCCCUCCGCGGACGGUAUGCGCUGGCAGAGUUUUGGUGGUCCCGUGUCACAACGGACCACAGCCUCGGCUCGGUCGCACGAACUUCUGACCUAUCAGCCUCGACUGUGGUGUCGUGGACCCCAGUGGCUUUGACGGGUAACGGAGAAUCAGGGUUCGAUUCCGGAGAGGGAGCCUGAGAGACGGCUACCACUACCAAGGUGGGCAGCAGGCGCGCAAAUUGCCCAAUGCAAACCAAGUCUGCGAGGCAGCGACGAACUGCAGCAAUCCCACUGGCCUUCUUCGCCAGUKGGACUUGGAAUGGAUGCAAUCCAAAGACAGUGAUGAGUAACAACUGGAGGGCAAGUCUGGUGCCAGCAGCUGCGGUAAUUCCAGCUCCAAGGGCGUAUACUAACAUUGCUGCGGUUAAAACGCUUGUAGUCUGCCACUGGGUCGCAGGUCUGCCGGGUGGCCGUGCCGUGUGUGUGCGGGCGGGGUUGGUGCCGGUCCGGCCACCACCCACCUCUCUUUCGCUCCCUCGGGGGCGGGGGGGGGGCGGGGGGCGGUCGGUUCCGGUGCCCGUCCCGUCCCGCGCGCCCCGGCGCGGGUAAAACCCCCGGUGGUAUGCUCCUGCACCCGCCAAGUUUGCUCGCGACGGUGAGAUCUGCUCCUGCCCAAAGGCCCCCUUCAGUGGAGGCCCCCAGCGGGCUCGCCCCCAACGCAGGUGUGGACAGCCACAGGCGGACCGGUGCCUCCCUUCUGCCCGUGCCCGGUACCCUUUGCAACCGCCCGUCCACCUCCGGAGCCCACCGUCACAGACACCGUGGAAAACUCAGUGUGCUCAAGGCCUCCAACCACUCGGCUGGAUGCCCGUCCAUGGCAUGUCAAGGUACCGACCAAGCGCGGCACAGUGGAGUUGUGCUGGCCUUGGCGCCCGCUCUGGGCAACGUGGUGCGUGCACCGGGCGCCCCACCGUCCGCAGCCAGGCCCCACCCCGUCCCCACGUGGCCCCCCUCGCGGCCCCGGACCCCCCCUCUCGUCCGCCCCCUUCGGGGGCGCCGGGAGGGGGACCGGGUGCCCGUGGGGGGGUUCGCGUGUGGGCGUGGGGGGGUGCCCUGGUGGGCGGCGGGCCGUCCCGGCAGCGCGCAUCGACCGAAUCCGAUGGGGCCAGUCAGGGUGAAAGGUACUACGGCGCCAGAGGUGAAAUUCUUAGACCGCCGCAAGACCACCGGCGGCGAAGGCGCUUUGCAAGGCUGUGUUCGUCGAUCAAGAACGAGAGUCCGGGGAGCAAAGAUGAUCAGACACCGUCGUAGUCCGGCACCGUCAACCGUGCCAGCUCGGCCUCGGUGGGGAAAUUCCAUCGACCCCGCCGGGCCACGCCCCCUCCAACGAGCAAUCCAAGCCCAUGGGUUCCGGGGGGAGUACCGUCGCAAGGCUGAAACUUAAAGGAAUUGACGGAAUGGCACCACAAGGCGUGGAGUAUGCGGCUUAAUUUGACUCAACACGGGGAACGUUACCAGGUCAGGACAUCGCUGGGAUGGACAGACUGAGAGCUCUUUCUUGAUUCGGUGGACGGUGGUGCAUGGCCGCUCCUGAUUGGUGGAGUGAUUUGUCUGGUUGAUUCCGAUAACGAGUGAGACAUCUGCCUCCCACUAAGCCUCGGGCUCGCAAUUGGUAGGGUCCCGGACCGCAUUGGUGGCGACCGCGGGGUCCCGUCGGCCCCCCGGGGGUCCCGUCCGUCGUGCGCCCGUCGUUCCCCCCCGGGGGUGCGGCGGGUGUGCGAUGGGCGGGGCCUUCGGGGGGAGGGCGGGGUCAACCCCCGCGGACCCGCCGCCCGCGGUCCGCCCGAGAGCCCCGAGUCUCAAGCUUCUCUGAGGCGCUGUGUACGCCACCAAGUGCAUGCAUGCUAGAGCCAACAGCAGGUCUGUGAUGCUCCCAGAUGUCCUGGGCCGCACGCGCACUACACUGACCCGGUGAGGGGGUCACCAUCCCGCUGGCGUUCCCGUCCAGCCCUGCCCGGAAGUGGGUGGGAAACCCUGCGAGACCGAGUCGUGCUGGGGAUAGAUGCUUGCAACUGUCUGCCUUGAACGUGGAAUGCCUAGUAGGCGUGAGUCAUCAGCUCACACCGACUGUGUCCCUGCCAUUUGUACACACCGCCCGUCGUUGCUACCGAUGGCGGCUGGAUAGAGCCAUCCGGAGGCCCGUGCGCCCGCCCCGUCGGGACACGGCCGAAAUCGGGCGAUGUCCAGCCGCUAGAGGAAGCAAAA
rnacentral:rRNA from 1 species